AGGGCAAAAGGUAAAAUAGUUUGUACCUUGGGGAAGUUUUAACCUAAGCUGGUAAAAAUAAGCUUUUGGGAUUUUCAUGCAGGUCCCCACAUCUCUACCCUAGAAUUCAGAGUGGGGAAGGAACUAAGAGCCCAGAGAGGGAAGUCCAGACGGAAGGUGAGGGGGGACAGGAGGAUCUGCCCACCUUUUGUAGGGAGGCUUUUCCCCAGGAGGAGGAUGAAGAAUCUGCAUCUAAAAUGCCAGACCCCUCACCCAUGAAUCAGGUUUUGAGAGAAGACAGGGGCCGGAUCUCCUGGAGGGGAGACUCCACCCAGUUCACCUGUGGAGAACAAAGAGUUGGGUGACUGAGGGGAUCAUACCAAUCCAAAGCACUCCAUUGAAGAAUGUGGUUCCUGCUAUCCUUGUGAGAGAUAACAUGGUCUCUUCAAGGCUAGGGGAGGAAACACUUUGUAUUUGGGAAGCUUCACAAGGGGGUGGGGUCCAACCCAAAGAAACUCCAGAGGGAGGGGCCGAGGGCAAGCAUGGUUACAGUGCACCCUUUCCUUGCCAAAGCCUCAAACACAUGCCUGAAUUGAGACCCUUCUCCAAAGAGGCAGAAGAAUCUGUAUCAUAGCACCUACCAUGGUGCACAAAGGAAUUGGGAAAUGCAAUAGACACUAAACAAGCUAAAUUGUGUGAGCAGAGCCUGUCCACCAUAGAUUUGCAGUUAAUCUUAUGUCUUUUGCUACUUCAUCUAGGGGUCAAGACAAAGGAGUUAAUACUAAUGGUAAAUUCUUUAAAGAUGUGUGACAUAUCUGAUUUGUGGAAAAAACUUUUGUACAUGCUAGGGAUGGUGACAAGACAGUCCCACAAGCAUGUUGCUUUUCAGCUUAUACCUGUAAACAGGUUGGAAGCUUGGCACAACUGCAAAAGCAUAACAGGCCUACACUGCUGUGUGGAAGGGGAAACUGAGGCACACCACCACAUGGCAUUGAUGGCUAAAUGCCAAGACACCUAUACUUUAACAGACAUUGCUACCUGCAUUCUGUUGGCAAUACUACACCACUCAAAGUUUUCUCCAGCGUUUUCAACCAAGCCCGCUGCAUGGCUAUUCUCUGGGAUGAUCCCUUUUAGCCAACUAAGUUGGAGGCUGGUACAGCUAAGGUUUUAUUCUGAUUGGUAAAUUACUCAGAAACGUUAAGGACCACUGUUCUACAAUAUGAUAACUGACAAACAAGAUAAACAAAUAAGAUAAAGUUUGUUUGUUAAAGUUUGGUCUCCAGAAAGUGUGUUAUGCUUUCGUUUUAUCUGCAGCCAUUUGUUUCCAAUAUUUUUACUACUAUUACCUGAAUCUCUGCUCUUUUGAUAAUAAACUUAGUUUUGUUUUCACUAUAAAUCAAUGUAAGUGUUGCAAUGUUAAGCAAAGUGAUGGUCCUGAAUUGAAUCUUGGAAGCUGAUGCAUACUGUUCCUUUGGGAACAGAAGGUAUGAUAAUUCUGUGAGUGCUCAGUAGAGAAGAGACUGGACACUGCGGGGCAUGCUCCGAAGACUUGCAGGGUGGGUUUGCCGAUCGCUACUGCACUGAGAGAAUGAGGCCUGUGGGGGCCUGGAAGAUGGUGCUUGUGCUGUCAGAAACUGGUGGUCCAGGGAGCUGCUCCACAACAGGCACAGACUCGACUUCACAGGAAGGGAGGAAGAAUUCCCUUUGUAUGGGUAUGUGUAUGCAGACGUACAGGAAUCAUCCCAUGUCUAUGGCCUGAGCUUUUUGGCACUGAUCUGCCCUGCAGGACUCUGUGAACGUGAGCAAGAGAACCUGUUAGGAUUAUCUGCCCUGCUGCAUUUUGUGAAGGCACUCUGCUAUGGAAAUCCCAUUGUAACAAGUCUGCGGAUCUUAGCAUGAAGAAGAAUAGGAAAAUUUAACUGUGCUUACCUGAACAUUUUCCUUCUUCAAGUAAUAAGUUCCACAGAUGCUGCCCACCCUGGAGAGAAGCAAAUAAUACAGAAUGGAGAUGGAAAUUGAUAUACAGGUCUGUAAUUUAAGAAAAUAGAUUUGAAUUAUCCUGGAUAUGAAAGUUAUCUCAACUGGAGGGAAAUUCAGGAGGUGAGGCAUUUCCUUGCUUCCAGUGAGUGACAGGUCUGGUUCUCCCCACAAGCUGCAAGUGUAAUGCUGAUAGACCCCAGUAGCUGGAUGGCAGGAUUGAACUGGAGUUUAGUGCAUGAGCUUCUACCACAUGAGCUAAAAGACAACUGACUGUUGGCUAAGGCUGUAGAGCAGACUCAUUCUCUCUCUCUCUCUCUCUCUCUCUCUCUCUCUCAAAGUGGCCUUGGUGCCACUAGAUGGGACAGAAUACCUCACCCAGGAAGUGUGUGGGUUACGCAAGCAGGCCAAAAUACUCGUCGUAAUAGAUCUGUGGACCUUAUUAGCCAAAGAACAGAAAUUUUCAGGUAGUCAUGGAUACACUUUCCCUAUUGAUUCUCUUGAUCAGAGAUGUCUGACUGUCCACAGAGCCAGGUAGGCUUCCCCUGCACCAGGAGGCCAGAGGAGAACCAGUGCUUGUGGCCACUAGGGACUUACUCCAGUCAAAAGGAAGAGCUGUUGGCUUCCUAAUAAGGGAUGCAAGUCCUUUGCACUGAGCUCCAAUGCCACCACCCAGGUAAGGCUAACUCACAAGUUAUCCAAAAGGGUGGUGAUCAGUUCCUGUAAACUACAUGCUGAACACCUGCAGCUCCUACAGCCAGAUUCUGAGCAGGUCUAUAGCAGCAUUUACAUCCGUGGCUCUGUGCCAAUUUACCAAGUCACUAUUGUAAUCAAUGCUCAGCACCUCUUAGGAUCAGCUCUAAUAUCUUGGGCCCUGCCCCUGUGAAUCUUUAAGGAAAAUUACCUUUCCUAUUGUCACAGCUUUAUGACUAUCUCCCCCCACCCCGUACAACUUGGUUCCAAAGCUGUAAUGCACAGUAUAGUGUGUGCCUUUUGAGAUUUACAUCAAUGUGUGUAGUCCCUAUGAGACGCAGAUAAUAUAACUGUAUUAGAACACCACUGGUUUUACUGAAAUUCCUUUAUAACAUGUGAAUUACAUUUCCUAUCUUUUUUUUAAAAUUUGACAUAAGAAUAAUGAAUGUCUUAUCAAAUAUAUUAUACAGUGUUACAUCAGUGAAUCUGUCAUACCUAGAACUGUGCAAAAGAUUACACACUCAAAAUUUGACUAUUUCCAAGUUUGUGAAGGUUCCAUGAAAAUAAAGAAUUUAGUGUAAAAAUUUGUCCGCAAAAAUGUAGUCAAAGUUGGGGCACUGAUUCUAAAGCAGCUUUUUGCAGUACAUUUCAGAUGUUUUUAAAUUGUGUUUAGUCACAUGGUGGCGGCCAAAUGACAGAUACUCAUCACAAUGGUAUCUAAUAUGGUAUUCUGGUAACUAGAUUGGGUGACCCUACCCACGUGUUCAGAAGGGUCAGCAGAGGCCACUCUGGAUUCGUGAAAGUAUACAAUAAGAAAAUAAGUCAAUCAGAAAAAAAAUAGCAUAUCUGCUUUCACAGUCCUGAGCCUUGCAGCUUCCUUAGUAAUUGCUUGAAAACUGUUGACAUGGGGUUAUAUCUCUACUCCAGAACCCUGGCAGCUGAUGACAGCCAUCAGGAGUAGCUCUGUUUCCUACUGCACUGUGGAGAAUUCCAUCACACCUAUGUCUUUUCAUAGUUGCUUAAUGCAAAUUUUGCAAAAAUACUGGAAUUUGAAACUUCUUUGGAAACUAAAAUAAGAUAUUAAAAAUGAAAAUAUAAAAGAAGAGGAAAGAAAAGAGUUAAGAGAGAGGAUGUGGUUUGAAAUAGUUUGCUUAACUGAUAUUUAUGAUGCGUUUAAAAAUAAAAAGAAAUAAGCAUAUUUUGGAAUUUUUUGGCACUUGUAAAUAGAUCAUAACUUAAAUUUAACUUAAAUUUCUGCCUUUAUACCAGAAAAUGCAGUAAACUGUGUUCUCUAAUAUCUAAAAAAUCAUAUUACAAAAUUUAAAAAAGUAAAUGGAAAUAUUGCAAAUAUUCAGAACAGGUGGGCUAAUAACAAAUCUUUUUAAAAUUAAAUAAAGAGGCACAGUGGUAGUAAUUUCAGUUUAUUCAAUAUGCCAUCUCUGCUAACUAAUUAUUGUUAAAGCCGCAUUAACUAUAAAGUGACUGGUGGCAUUCCAGAACUUUAUGAACAUAGUAAAGAAUGUUAUUAGAUUGAUUAAAAAAUCUUAGUAAAUAGGUCCCCAAUGAUGCAAACACUUAUGUAUCUGAGUAAUUUUGCAAUUCCCAUACAUAAAGUUCCUUAUGCAUAAGUGUGUGGAGGAUCAUGUAGAAUGACAUUAACUUUUAAUCACAUACACAUGUCACAGCUGUGCCGUUGCUAAUCAGUUUCUUACAGUUUAAAUGACUAUUAGUCUUACUGUUGUUGACAGCUUUUUCCUGUUUAACCACAGAAACUAUUUCAGUGCUAUAUAAUGGCUUUUCUGCAGCCUCUCCCCCACAAAUUGUCCUCCACUUGUAAUAAGGAAAACAAUCACCUUCAUGUAUGAUUUUUGACAUUUAUAUUGCAAUUGGGAUUGAUUAGUUUCACACACCAGGGAAAUGACCUGCUUGAAAUAUACAGAAAAUAUACAGCAUUCUUUACUUUGCUUGUUAAAACAUGUUUAAUUGCUGGAAAAUUUUGAAAUUCUGGAUAUAUCAAACCUGUAUUAUGAAAACAGAAUAUGACUGAAAUGAUAAGCUAUUAUUUAUGUCCAGCAAUGUUGUAUGAAGAUUUUGUGUUUUAUGUUUACAGGUAAUUCUUUCUCUCUUUCCAUCUCAAUGUCUGUUCCAUUAUUUAGACUUUAACAAACUGCUAAUAAUCUCUAAUGAUUAUUAUAACAUUACUGGGUUAAAAAAUGGGUGAACUUGAAAAGUUUUUGAAGUUUGGUUUGGAUAAGCACCUAACAGUUUGAGUCCUAACCUUCUGAACUGUUUUCUAUGGCAAAAUAUUUCAUCACAUGUUCUGAAGCUGGCUGGAUUAUUUCUCUGGAAAGAAGAAUAUUUCCUCAAACAAAAUACACUGGUUUAGUUGCCAAAGGCACAAAAAAGCAACAUUAUGAUAUGUAGAUAUAGAUAUAUUUAUUUUUAAUAGGGUUGUCCAGCGAUUAAAAAAAUUAAUCGUGAUUAAUUGCUCAAUUAAAUAAUGAAUCAUAAUUAAUCAUGUUAUUAAUUGCGCUGUUAAACAUUAAUAAAAUACCAUUUAUUUAAAUAUUUUUGGAGGUUUUCUACACUUUCAAAUAUAUUGAUUUUUAAUUACAACAGAAUAUAAA